AUACUUACAGUGAUCAUGAAGGUGGUUUUCCUCAGGGCAUGGCUUCUCCACAGCACUCCCAGAUGUGCUGACCCCUGCGAUUUCCCCAAAUGUGAGAUGCUCAACUGUAAAAUUUGUGGCAGUGGGGAACUGCAUUCACACUGUCCCCU
rnacentral:snRNA from 1 species